AGAACGAACGCUGGCGGCAUGCCUAACACAUGCAAGUCGAACGUGAUCCAGGCUUCGGCCUGGUGAAAGUGGCAGACGGGUGAGUAACGCGUGGGAACCUGCCCUGUGGUAGGGAAUAACCGUGGGAAACUGCGGCUAAUACCCUAUGAGUCCUUCGGGAGAAAGAUUUAUCGCCAUAGGAGGGGCCCGCGUCGGAUUAGGUAGUUGGUGGGGUAACGGCCUACCAAGCCUUCGAUCCGUAGCUGGUCUGAGAGGAUGAUCAGCCACACUGGGACUGAGAUACGGCCCAGACUCCUACGGGAGGCAGCAGUGGGGAAUAUUGGACAAUGGGGGCAACCCUGAUCCAGCAAUGCCGCGUGGAUGAUGAAGGCCUUCGGGUUGUAAGUCCUUUCGGCGGGGAAGAUGAUGACGGUACCCGCAGAAGACGCCCCGGCUAACUCGCGCCAGCAGCCGC
rnacentral:rRNA from 1 species